AUGUUUGCAUUUCUUUCCCUUACUGUACCGAAAAUGAACCGAACCAUGACUUUAAAACCGAGGCCAAACACAAGCGUUACUUCGGCCACUCAGCCCACGUGACCAACAUUCGUUUCUCUUACGAUGACAAAUAUGUGAUAAGUGUAGGAGGCAACGAUUGUAGUGUGUUCGUAUGGAGAUGCAUCUGAUGGGCCUCCACACAGCUGGGAAUCUCUCCUCCAAACAUCAAGCCAGAGAUACCUCCAGCGUCCGGAUGCUGCACUUCUGUUAUGCUGCGUUUUACCCCUCUAGACCUGAUGGAUCCUAGACAAGUCUGAGCUCGAAGAGGGUUUUUUAACCAUUCUGUGAAGUGCAAUGUUUACGCUUACGUGUACUUUUACAAAGAAAAAGAAAAAAGAUACACUCAUAACUCAUGCCACUGUUUCAGAAAUAAAUGUAUUUUUUGUUCGGAUUCUGAAGUGCCUUGGAGACACAGUUUGCUGAUCUUUGCCCCGAAAUGUUCAUAUGAUGCAUAUAUGGUGCUAAAUGUCCACUUAGAGCUUUUUACAAUUCUUUUAAAAACCAUGCAUUAUGCAAUUUCAUUUCUUCUUUAUCUUCUUUUACAUUUUGUACAUAAAUGUCAACUCACUAAAUGCUCUUCCUGUUAAAAAUAUCAAAGUAUCCAAAUACAUGGGACUCAGGAGAAAUUAAGUACUGUAAUGUGUAGAUGUUAUAUUUGACCUGUGCUAUUUUUGUUAAAAUAUUUAUUUUUUAUGUACGUACUUGCGUAUGACGUAUGCAAAUUAGUCUGUGGGCGUAUAUGAAAAUUGAAAAUGCAAAAAAUUUGCUGUCCAAAUAUUAGUUAUAUGAAA